rfam:Streptomyces turgidiscabies Car8 gcontig_1113219321593, whole genome shotgun sequence.
CAGCGCACUCCGGGGUCGGUGAAAGUCCGAACCGGCGGUUACAGUCCGCGACCCGUCCGUAUUUUUUUCUGCGGCCGGUUGACCAGGUGGAAUUCCUGGACCGACGGUUAAAGUCCGGAUGGGAGGCAGUGCGCGG